GAUUUUCAAAAACUUCAUGUGCAUCUGAAGAGAAGCACCUCCACCUCAUAUCCCCUCUUGCAUCAGGAGAGGAGGGGCAGCAAGUUGGUAUCCAUGUUAAACAGCCAAAGUAUGAACACCAGAGGUGGUGAAAGAAGUAUGCAUCCUAAAGUUCCUCCUCCAAAGGGUUGCUGUCCUGCUAUGCUUGGCACUACAGCAACAAAGCAACACAAACAUCCACAACAGCAACAAAGGAUAUAUAUUGAUCUACUCAGGUGUAUGAGCAUUCCAAGAAAAGCUGAAAAUCCAGUACUUUAUGCAAUUCAUACAGUUGCUGCCUCCAGGGUACCAGCUAUCCUUAUCACUGCUCCCAUGGCAACAAGUCUCUGCUCCAGAGCUAACUGCAAGAGAACUAAUUCAGAAAGCAUCUCACUUUUUAUGGAAGGACAUCAUGACUGGCAUAUGAAGAGAAAGCAGACAAAGGUGAAUGGUACCUAG
rnacentral:lncRNA from 1 species